UACGUAGGGUGCGAGCGUUGUCCGGAAUUAUUGGGCGUAAAGGGCUCUUAGGCGGUUUGUCGCGUCGGGAGUGAAAUCCACUGGCUUAACUGGUGGCUUGCUUUCGAUACGGGCAGACUGGAGGUAUGCAGGGGAGAACGGAAUUCCUGGUGUAGCGGUGAAAUGCGCAGAUAUCAGGAGGAACACCGGUGGCGAAGGCGGGUCUCUGGGCCGAUACUGACGCUGAGGAGCGAAGGCCAGGGGAGCAAACGGG
rnacentral:rRNA from 1 species